CGAACCGUUCGAGGGGGUGGACGCGAUCACCUCUCGGGUGAUCCGCGACUUACUGGCCGGGUUCGUGGCCCGCGGCUCGAC
rnacentral:tRNA from 1 species